CCGCUGUCGCCCCGGAGGGGCGGCAAGGCGGGCGGCCGCGGGCCGUUUCCUUGCCUCUUCCUCUGCCCCGCUUCGGCCGCCUCCCGCCUCUCAGGGUCGGGGUUGUCUGUCCCCUUCGCUGUCACAUCCUCCGCACCCAGCGCUUGGAAGGUGCUCCAUCACGGUGACAGACAGGUGCCAAGCAGGCUGGCGUCUGGGAGGAACUUCGGAGCCGGCUCUCCCUAGGCCCCGAGCUUGGCCGCAUCCGUCCUUACUCUGGUGACCCUGGGCAGGUCACUGACUCUUCGGGCGCUUUGGCAUCCUCGUUUGAAAGGGGCUGUUAUCCUGCAGCCUUGCUGGUCGGUGAGGGUGAGGGUGAGAGGGAUCUGUGCACCUAGCACCGUGCAUGGCACGUGGUAGGCGUUUGGUACAUGGGAAUCGCUGUUGGGGUGUCACCUCCCCAGAAAGUUCUCGGCUUCAGUAAGCGCGUCCCCUGCCAGGCGCCCUGGCAAUGCAGAGGAGUCACCGAGCUCCGCCUUUGACCAGCGUGCAGCUGGGAGAGUGAGAUCAGAGACCACAGCAGAUCGUGGCGCUGUGAUCAGGGGGUACACUCAAGCUGUGGGUCCCUUACCCCAGCCUUGAGAUCCCAGGAAGGCCUGCAGCCUGAAACGGGCCUUGAAAGGUGCGUAGUUUCUCUGAAAAGCAUCACCCAGGUCAGAAUGAAAGGAAACUCUCUGUGCAGACCGCUGUAUGUGGGACCUUUGAAGACAGUCAAAUAGUGUUCAAUUCUAUAGGGAUCUUCUCUGGAUCAAGCAAUGGUGGUGAAAAAUGUUUCGCAAGGGCAAAAAACGACACAGUAGUAGCAGUUCCCAAAGUAGCGAAAUCAGUACUAAGAGCAAGUCUGUGGAUUCUAGCCUUGGGGGUCUUUCACGAUCCAGCACUGUGGCCAGCCUCGACACAGAUUCCACCAAAAGCUCAGGACAAAGCAACAAUAAUUCAGAUACCUGUGCAGAAUUUCGAAUAAAAUAUGUUGGUGCCAUUGAGAAACUGAAACUCUCCGAGGGAAAAGGCCUUGAAGGGCCAUUAGACCUGAUAAAUUAUAUAGACGUUGCCCAGAUGGAAAGUUGCCUUUUGUUCCUCCGGAGGAAGAAUUUAUUAUGGGAGUUUCCAAGUAUGGCAUAAAAGUAUCAACAUCAGAUCAAUAUGAUGUUUUGCACAGGCAUGCUCUCUACUUAAUAAUCCGGAUGGUGUGUUACGAUGACGGUCUGGGGGCGGGAAAAAGCUUACUGGCUCUGAAGACCACAGAUGCAAGCAAUGAGGAAUACAGCCUGUGGGUUUAUCAGUGCAACAGCCUGGAACAAGCACAAGCCAUUUGCAAGGUUUUAUCCACCGCUUUUGACUCUGUAUUAACAUCUGAGAAACCCUGAAUCCUGCAAUCAAGUAGAAGUCAACUUCAUCUGAAAGUUCAGCUGUUUUCAAACUGCAAUGCUGAAAUGUUAUGCAAAUAAUGAAGUUAUCCCUUGCUCUAGAUUUUCUGAAGAAAAUGGAUUGUGUAAAAUGCUGAUCAUUUGUUUAUUAAAAUGUGUCCUAUUACACAG
rnacentral:lncRNA from 1 species